UCCGCUGCAGAGCCUGUGUAUGUCAUUGGUGCAUUCCAUUGGUGCAGAAGCCUGUUUUCUUGACUGGUUCAAUAUGCUGCUGGAGGCUGAGCCAAGCUCUGUUCAGAGGAGACCAUGAGAGGAGACCACACAAGAUGGCCUUCUGGCCAUUGGGGGGGGGGCUUUUCUACACUGCUCCCAACUCUGCCACAGCCUUUCGAGAUGGGGCAAUCGGAAAUGGAGAGCCCUUUCCUGAUUAGUCAGAAGUCUACCAGCAUACGUGAAGUUCCUAUUUAGUUAUUUUGGCCCCAAAGUAUAUUCCUUUAACUUACAUGGAACUGCAUUUGCCAUUUUGUUCAUUUAUUCACCCAGUUUGGAGAAAAUAAUGCUACGCUACUAAGAAUACAGGAUAUGGCUGGAACAUUCUGAAUCACUGCAUAAAGGCAGCUGUUUCAGUGCCUUGUUGAAUCAUACAGCUGUCUACCAUUCAAUACUGGAUAAAGUAGAUCAUGAAGUGCAUCAAUUAAAAUAGUUAAAACUGUUCUUGAACUUAAGAAUAUUGUUUACUCAGAAGAGUAGGCAUGUCCAAGGAGGUGUGCCUAGAAUUCUCACCUAUGCUAGAAAAAUGCAACCUGUGCUGCUGAUAGAAAUAGUACGACUCCUGCAACACGUUGGCGACUAAUAUACACACAAUAAUUAAUAAAAUGAUUAUACAUUCUUUAUCAAUCUUCUGAGAAAAAUACAAAACCUUGUACAAAGCCACAGAGACUUGCGAACUACCCAACCUAAGAUGAACUUAAUGUCUGAUUUCAAUGGAUUUUUCAGGGGCUUAACUCAGUCUUUAGGUAAGUUCAUGAAGAUACCAACAAAAAGUAAGUUCAGUGUUUUUCACAAUACUGAGAGAUGCUACUGGAGUUGUAGAUGGAUGUUAAUGAAGUUGUAGACAGGGUGCUGGCAUUUUGCACCUGUUUUGCCCUGGCGGUCCAAGUGAUCAAGAGGCCGUUGUUUGCCCCUGAUGGGGCCCUUUUACUGGGGCUUGCAGGUAGCACACUCCCAAGGUAGUUUUCCGGGCUUCUUCAGUGGUCUAAUCUCAAAUCCUUGAUAUGUAUAUUGAUAUUCAAUUUCAUAGAGAAUACUAUUUCUUGGCUUAAGCUUAAGAGACUACGACUACUACUACUACUGCUACUAGAAUUCUCACUUAAGCAUCAUUAUCAAAUAUAAACAUACCUCAGAACUGUUUUACUGCAUAGUAAUUGAAAAAUAUUCAGUGCAAGAAAAAUUCUGAACACAUCCAACCAAAGGAUCAUGGUUGCUCUCAGUUCAGGAAGCCAGCACAUCAUUUUCUAAGUCUGUGCAUCUGGAUAAGAUUCUAUAGAUUUAUUCGCUCUCCUUUAACAAGACGACUUCGCAUGAUCCAAAUAUCCUAAGGACAGAAAAGAACCUUGUUUUGUGUGCAAGUUCAUUCCCGCUGCACAUACAAGCAGUUGCAUAUGGAAGGAAGCCCACCACACCCAGAUGUUUUGGUUCUGCAUGAAGCUUUGCUUCCGAACUGAGGGCUCAUCCACACUUUUGCUCCAGAUUUCUAGCCACAGGCCUGAGCUUUCCAGGUCUGACAACUUUCCCCCCAUUUUCUUACCACUUUCCCUAUGAAAACACACUCUUUACUGCUGAACUGAAGGAAAUGGCAAUGCGCAGAAAACCCUCAGUUCACUGCCAGCAACACAAAUCACACAGCAUGCCUAGUGGUGUGGUAGAAAGAAUUGUAAUAUGCUAUGUAGAAGCUGGGAGAGAGAUCAGGAUCAGACCUGCUCAACACCAAAGUACAUGACUGAGUAGGCUACCACCAUUGGAAUAAUUAUUCCCAAUACCACUAUCUCAGACAUAUGACGUGAAAAGUUUUUGAUGCCGUUUUUUUUAGGAAACUGCUUGACCUUUAUACAACUUAGAAUAAUAUUGAUGAAAUACCCCCCCCCAAAAUUUGUCUUAUCUGUUAUUACAGCAUUUCCUUUUUGCCACUUUAAUAUCACUUUCUUCUCUUUCUCUUUCCACAGUAUAUACACCAAACAUUUCCCCAGUUUGUAAUUAAAUUCAAUUUAUUUUUGGUUUAGCAUAAUUCAGUUUCAUUUCCUUCUUCUGCAUUGUUAACAUAGACAACUGUCUUUGCAGCAUCUUGAUUUGCCUAGUUGUAUUUAUCUCAGUUGGAGAUCAUUCGAACUAUUUUUCUUUUAGUCUAAUCUUGGACAGUUUUCUGUAGUUUUCUCUGCCCAGUCUCUUUCUUAGGAUUAAAAAAUUAUGUUGUAUGAAAUAACCUCUGAUGAAAGCUUUAUUGGCAUCCCAAACCAUUUAUAUUCCUGUCCUUGUCUAAGUUAUUCUCAAACAAUUGUUUCAGCUUAUGCUUGCAGCCUUCCACAACUGUUUCUUCUUGUGGUAGCGUUUCAUUAAGCCUCUGGCUAAAGAAACCAGUUUUCUUUUUAAAAGUCAUAAUUACUGAAUUGUGAUCUAAGAAAGUCUUUGGUAAUAUGUCUAUGGAGUUGCCAGUGUCUUAGUCAACCAAAUCAUAUUUUUCUUGAGAAGCAUCUGUGUCUUUCAGAGAAAUAUUUAUAUUUUUAGAUGUCAACAAGUUCCAAAUUAUCCAUCAUUUCAAAGAAAACCUUAGGUACUUUAUCCUAGGAAGUUUUAAUAUUUUUCUUUGAAUUUCUGUCCUGCAUUGGAAAGACCACUCCAUCCCAGUCAGUUUUCAUAUGAAAAGUCCAUCAACCACAAGCCCACAAGUCCUAUAUAAAAUGUUGAUUACUUUUUUUUUACAGCCUUGGAUAGUAACUUCCACCCCAACAUAUCUACAUUGUUCAUCAGAGAUUAUCAGUUUGGGGCAAAAGAACUCCAUUACCCCCCCCCCCAAAUCCUGCAGAGAUCAAUUCCUCACCAAAUUCUUUUUUUGUCAAAUAUUUUAUAUCCUUUUCCCUAAUAUGUGUUUCUUGUAAACAAAUUAGAUUUUUUUAAAAAGAAAUAUAUUUUUUCUCUUUUGAGGAAUAUUUGCUCCAUUUAUAUUCCAUGUUAAGUACUUGUAAUCCAUAGCUGAGAGGGUUAUUUUGUCAUAUCUACAGCUCCCAUUUCUGUUUCUUCAGUCUCAUCCAUUUGUAUUUCUUCCAUUUCAAAUUUAAAUUUCUCCACAAAGUCUCUUGCUUUCUGUACUGAAUCAAGUUGAAAUCUUUGUUGUUUAAAGAUAAAAAUCACUCCCUCCUGUAUGUCCCAUCUUGAUUGAAUUCUUUUCUGCUAAAGUUAUUUGUCAAAAAAUAGUAGCCUUUUUCUUUUUUGCAGUACCCUCAGUGGAAUUUCUUUCAAUUCAAUCACAUCUAUAUCAUCAAUUUUCAACUUGGUCUCAAAAUAUUACUGUAAGACUUCGUCUCUAGUUUUCCUUCUAGCAAAUUGGACCAAAACAUCUCUUGGAACCUUUCUUAAUUUUGCAAAACAUGUACAGUGGUACCUCGGGUUACAUAUGCUUCGGGUUACAUAUGCUUCAGGUUACAUAUGCUUCAGGUUACAUACGCUUCAGGUUACAGACGCUUCAAGUUACAGACUCCGUUAACCCAGAAAUAGUGCUUUAGGUUAAGAACUUUGCUUCAGGAUGAGAACAGAAAUCGUGCUCCAGCGGCGCGGCAGCAGCAGGAGGCCCCAUUAGCUAAAGUAGUGCUUCACGUUAAGAACAGUUUCAGGUUAAGAACGGACCUCCAGAAUGAAUUAAGUUCUUAACCUGAGGUACCACUGUAUUAAUUUUGUAGAUUGUGUCCAUUUCUGCCUCCAUAUCAAGCACAUCCUUUUUCAAAAAGUAUGCCAGGGAAUUACCGGUAAUGUUUUUAUCCCUAAUAUCUUCACCCUCCUCUUCUGGAAUCUCUCUGAACUGUAGGCAGAUCUCCUUUUCUCUCAACUCCAUUAAUGCCAAAUUCUCCAAAUAUCUUUCCAUCUGUUUGUAGCUUCACUUCUACUUUCCAGAUGUGAGAUAUGCUGGCAGGUACAGGAGUUUCCCUUUCUCUCUGGAAGCUUCCGAUAAGAAUCAACGAGCCUCUGACAGGUUUAUAGUCCAUUUUAUUUACACAGAGGCAUGGAGCCACCCUCCUUCAGCAUCUCAGUUGGUCCCUCUGCAUCCCUGCCCCUUCCACUGCCCCGCUCUCCCACCCUGGUGCUUCUGUUGAAACUUCACCCUUUCAGACCUCCUAGUGCAAGGGGAGGGAAGGAGGUCCCCACCGCUCUCAAAGGAAGAGUCUCCCAAGCGGUGGCUCCCUCCUGGUUGCCUAGCUUCUGACUCAGAGUUAUCUAGCUCUUCCCCCGACUGUGCUGUCUCUCAGUCGGCUGCUGGGAAAGUUGAAGGAAGAGGGGGGCAAACUCUCCCCUUCUUCUUCUGUCAGAGGCUGCUCUGUCUGUGUCUGCAUUCCUUCAUCUUCAGAGUCAGAGCAGUCUCUGGCAUAUGAGUCAGACCAGCCCCUGACACCAAAGCCUACACUUUUUAUUUAAUUGCUUCAUUUCUACAGACAACUGUGCAUAGGAUUCUUCUAUUUUAUUAAGUGUUCCUUCUAAAUCUUGCCAACUUUUCAUCUAUUUGUAUCCAAAUGGUCCAUAUUGUUUUUAAUUUCAUUCAUCUCUAAUUUAAGAGAUUUUGUUUGCUCUGCCAUCAUCUGCUGAAAAAUGUCAAAAGGGUCAAAAGGUACAGUAUCAAAAUAUGUUUUUAUUUCCUCUGCUGCCUUUUUCUUGCUGCCUGGCGUGCUGAGUAUUCGGAGUAUAAAAACAAACCGUCUUUCUUUUAAAGCCAACUUCUAUUUUCACCAGCUGUUUCUGCUUCGCUUAUUAAGAAUGUCAGCCCUUUCUGUCUCUUUACUGCUCUCAUAAAAACUUCAGCAACAGGACAGCUUCCCCAGAUAUCUUGUUCUGGCUGCAGCAUCAAUAAAUGUAGCCCAUUUAAAAUAAACCGAUUCCAUUCUCACAGAGGAAAUUUCAACUGGCAAAAUAGCUUUUAUAUUCUUAGGCACACUUUUGCCAAGAAAAUAAAUAAAUAAAUAAAAAUAAUCCACUUAGAACUUAACACAGAAACUCCUUUGUCUGUUUAAAUCUUUCUUAUCUCAGACCAUAAAUCAAGCCUUUUGUCUUCACUCAGCAGCUUAAACAGCAGUCCUCCUCUCUUCUAAGUUGUAGAAAGUAGAUAGCUCACUGGAUGUAAGUUUUCACUGGCAGAUGAAGAAACUCACUUAAGUUGUAAAUUAUUUUAUUCCAAAAAUAAUUAAGAAAGAGAGGUGUUUUGUGGAUCCAGUGUCCAUAUUGGCUGUUGUAUCAUUUGGGCAAGGUGAAAUUUCCUCAAAGUCAGGGCCUCCAAGAAGACUUCUCUCUGCCAAUCUCACCAGCUCCUUUUCUGAAGGGAAGCUGAAAGCCAAUAUUGGUGUCUAUCUUCAAACACCACACAACCACCACAGACAGAUGAGCUGAUGGAGAUAGUCCAUUGGCCACCAUCGCUCCCCUGGAAGUUUUUCCUUUGUUUAUUUUUUCUUUCCUCUUUUUUCUUUCUCUUUCUCUCAUUUAUCUUUUCCUCUUUUCCUUUGUGUUUUUAGUUUAUCUUUUAUAUUCCAAAAAUAUAUUGGGUACUGUAUUUGAUAUUAACUUUAUCUAUCUUUCCCCAAACUUUAAUGGGGCAGGGGAAACAUUAAUACAUACCAUCAAGGUGAUAGGUGAGUCUGUACCAUACUUUGCUCUUGCAACAUCUACUGCUUCUUUCUCCAUGUUCUCUUGAAUUGUACCUUUCAUGUCAAUAUAGUGGCAGUCAGAACUUGCAUAAUGACAAGAAAUUGUCUGCAUAAAAAGACCAAUAUAACUUAUUUAUUUUCAUUUGUAAAUGCAUUUCUGCAAAGGCAUGCAUCCCAUAUGGAGGAUAGGUUUUACCCCUCACCUCCAGCCCUCCAACAAAGAAACAUAGAAAUAAUAAGGUGCAACUUCAGGUUUUGAUAUUAAUAGCUCAAACAGCAUCUUACCUUACGAAACCCUUCAGUCUUGUUCAUUCCAGAGCCAUGGAUUAGCAAGGGGUGGAAGAACACUGUGUCUCCUUUCUCCACAGCAAGGUGAACCCUUGGAAUAGUUUUAUCAUAAUCACGCACUCCAUGGUACAUCUUGUUUACACCACCCUGGAAGUUCAAUGCAUUGAAUUAUCUUCUUUAGCCUAAAGAACUUAAUCUUUUGAAACCUCCACACUUCAAAAACUUUUAGAACAGAUUUAUAAAUAUUAGGUCUAUUUAGCUGGAUGAGACCAAGGCCUGAUCCAGCUGAACAGUGAACAGUGGACAGCGAUGUCCCUUCAGAAGCUCACAUGCUGAAUGUGAAGCUGAUGGCCCUCCUGCCUCCUUUCCCCUUGCAUCUUGUAUGGAGAUGCCUGCUGGCACCAAACAUGGAUGUUCUGGCUUCCAUUUGAGAAGCCUAUUGCCCAGGAUCCUGUCUAAUUAGUUUUGUCUAAGCCAUUUGAGUCCAUGGCCCUCCCCACAACUGGUGGCACUGAAAUAGAGAACGUUUAUUUGGUGAAAUAAAUAAGAUGCUAAAAGAAAAUAUUGUAUUCUCCCCCACGUUGGUAUCUUUUUCUAAGGGAGAGAAUAAAAAGAUAAAAAGAAAAGAUUUGCUACAUUACCUUCUUAUUGUUGCAUGUGUAUUGACUGCCCAAAGAUGGAGAACAUUGUUUCUAUGAUGGAGUAGUAUAUGGGAAAUUGCAUUACAUGAAAAUCUUACCUGCAGCCCCCUGCCUCCUCUGUCACAGCCCCCUGCUGCUGCUGCUGCUGCUGCUGCUGCUGCCGCCACCUCCUUCUCCACAGGCCCCUGCUCCCAAUCUUGAAGGUGGCAGGGAAGUAAAAGGAGGCUGGAGAUCUACCAACUGAGGAACUGCUUCAUCUCACCUCAUGGGUGGGCUGGUCUGUUCUUGUUCUGAUUUCUUAUGAGGGUAAAGGUAAAGGGACCCCUGACUAUUGGGUCCAGUCGCAGAUGACUCUGGGGUUGCAGCGCUCAUCUCGCUCUAUAGGCCGAGGGAGCUGGCGUUUGUCUGCAGACAGCUUCCAGGUCAUGUGGCCAGCAGGACUAAGCCACUUCUGGCAAACCAGAGCAGCACACGGAAACGCCGUUUACCUUCCCGCCAGAGUGGUACCUAUAUAUCUACUUGCACUUUAACAUGCUUUCAAACUUCUAGGUGGGCAGGAGCAGGGACUGAGCACCAGGAGCUCACCCCAUUGCGGGGAUUUGAACCGCCGACCUUCUGAUCAGCAAGCCCUAGACUCUGUGGUUAAGACUACAGCGCCACCUGCUGGUACUCUCCACUUAUUUGUCACAAAAAUCUAGCUAACCAGCUUUAUCAUUUUUUCUUGUGAAUGUAACAUCCAGUGCUAGCCCUGAUUUGAUUUGGUUUAGCUUUAAUGUGUCUGUCUCAUAAUUUUUCUUCUUAUUAUUUUGGUUAUAUGGGGGGGAAAUCAAUAAAAAUACUUUUCUAGAAAAUGCAACUUGUGGAGAGGGCACGAUACAAUUGCCUGUAAGUGCACUGAUCUCCAGUUGAGACUUUUCAUAGUUACCUCUGUGUCAUGAUGGACACUCAAGAACUUUGGUUGGACUUGUGUAUGUCUCCUGGAUGGGUGGAUCCCAGUAACAACAAAAUGUCAUCUGUGAGGCUGCCUUCAAAGAGAGUUUGGAAACUUCCUACUGGCGCAGAAUGCAGUCACCAAGAGCUUGGAGAUGUGUGUGUUCUGAUCAUAUGACAUCAGUUCCAUAUCAGUUGCCCUGGCUGCCCAUUCAUCUCAAUUUAAAGCCCUCUUUUUGAUUGUAAGGAUCAUACCACUCAGUUAGCAAAACUGCUAUUGGCUACCUCCAAAUUUGCAGAUACUUCCAUCCUCCGUCCCUCCCUGUGAUGAAGUCAUAAAGAAAUUACCUCCCACUCAGGAUAAUCAUGCUUUUUCAGAGACCCCUUAUGACUUCCUGGCCAAACUGCCAGGCAUCCAUUUCUGCGAUCAAUCUUCUCCAUGGCCGUCCAGGCACAAACAAUGCGAUCUGCAGGCCGGAAUGAGAAGUAGUGCAAAUCCUGGUGCAUCGGUUGGCGAGAGGUCUUAUUUCCUGCAACAAUUAUUUGUAUUAGCUUUCAUAGUACAGAUGCAGAAUUAGUUAAGUAAAUACAAGCACCAUCUUCCAAUACUUCUCAUGUAGAGGUGGUGCAGUUUUGGCUACACCUUCACUGGCACUCAGAGACUCAAACCAGGACUAGUAUUUCUGGAUUUAAGCUGGCAAUGGCUGUACACACCCAUCUAUUGUAGUGAUGGCAUGGCAGGAAUGACCUAUAAAUUUUGGAUUUAAUUUCAAGUGGACAAUACAAUGUACAGUACCACAAAUACCUAGGAAUUCAUACUGGUGGAAUUACAUUAGAGUGACAAUGCAGAAUGUUUUGCCAGGAGCAUAAUUCCACUGAAACCCUAUGUAAAAUCCCUCUUAUUGUUUAGGGUGUUGAAUUACUGGUCUGUAUAUAAGUGCAGGCAUUUAUACUGAGGCUGCAGCUUCUGGACAGAAAUUCUGUUCUCUCCUUUUAGCAUUAGACAAAGCCCUACCCUUCCAACAGCAGUCAGCGUUGUCACUUAUGAGUGGAGGGAAGACAGUCAUGAGAAACCAACUUCGCAUUCAACAGCAAGGCUAGCAGUAUGAAGGUAAUUUAGGAAGACACAAUUAAGCCCUUCAUGCUUACUUUGUUACUGUAAGACAGGAUACUUUAUUCAGAAUAUUUCUAUCUCAUAUUUGCAUCACAAAAUAUAAGAUUAAUUUCACAUUUAAGCGAUUAUUAUUAUGAAGGGAUAUCCUAGGAGUCAGCCAUCAUAAGGGUUGGGUUUCAAAUAGCUACAUGCAAUACCUAGUCCCAACCAUGUUCCACCCUCCCUCUGCUCUCUUUACCAGAGUUACUCUAGCCCAGGCAUGUCCAAAGUCUGUUUUGGGGGCCUAAUCCAGCCCGCCGGUUGGCUUAAUCCGGGCCCUGUGGCAGUUUAUUUCCAGGGCUAUAAUCAUAAAAAAGCUCAACAACUUCAAUCCUAAAAAAAGUUUGGUCGGCCCUCAUACAUGUUCACCUCAUCAAAUCUGCCCCUCUUUGAAAAAAGUUUAGACACCCCUGCUCUAGUCGCUGCCAAGUGCCAAAACCCAGGAAACUGGAACACCUGGUAGCAACAACUGAAGAGUUCUAUUCCUAAUAGCAGCCCUGAAAGUGACCCAGAUGAGAUGGGACCCAGGGAUUCCUUACUUUUCCAUAUACUUUACUAUCUUAAUAAUUUAAUUUAAAUUUUAUAUCCCACUUUUCACCGUCUAGGCCUCAAAGCAGCCCACAAUGAUAAAAACACACAUUUUCUCAUUCUGCAAGGUUCCUCCUGCCAGGUAACGCAAGUGCCCCAUGAGAGUGUCCCACUUAUCUUGAUGCCCUGACUUCAAAAGAUCUAUAUCCCACUUCAGGGAGUUCUUCCUCCCCACACAAACCUCUACUAUGGAGAGGAAUGACACCAAAAUCCCUGGAACUGAACUGAUAUGGCUGACGGGGGCCUGAAGCUAAAAGAGCUGCAGGGUUCUUCCUAUACGUGGUUUUGUAAAGAGGUUUAACCUUUUUGGUCUUCAGUUUUUGGAGAACUGAGUUUAAUGUUCAAAGUGGACCUACAAAUCUCUCCCAAACUUGCAUUACUUGGGAUUCUGGACACUUCUAACUCUCAAAAGGAACAGUUAGCAUUUGUCCUAUUAGUGGUGUGUAUAGAAAUUUCAAAUUGCUAUGCAAUAGCAUUCUGCAGUUUCUGUAAACAUUGAAGCCUGGUAUUCCCGGAUAUGGACAAUAGCCUUUGCUGAAAAACUAACCUACCAAAUUCAUGCAAAUAAAGAAAAACUGAGUCCUUACCUUUUCUACAACACUUGGCAAAUGUUUCUUGAAUAUAUGCAAUAACAUUGUAACAGGAACCCACCACAAUCCAAAUAGUAGAGAGACUAUUUGGACUAACUCUCAGGAAUAAGAUCUGAUCUUCUGUGACACUGUGGUUGGUAUGUUGCGACAUGUGCUGUACAUGUGAUAUUCAGUGGAAAAUGAAUAAAACCUUUUAAAGAAUGAAAUCAGGCAGAGGACUGCAAGAAAGGUGGGGAAUGAGGAAGAGAGGAUGGCAAGGGAGAAAAGUGUGCCACAGUCACUUUUGGCUCUGUCCAUGCUCACAGAUUAUACCCAGAAGAAAUAAAGCAGGAAACAGGAAAAAGAAAGGUCCCACCUCUGAUUUAGAGAGUACCAGUACAAAAUCUGAGAGAAGUUAAAUCAAGACGUGUAUCAGAAUGAACCAUGUUGUAUACAACUAUACAUCUUCGUUUAGACUUGCAUCACAGUAGCUAAUUCUCUAAGUAUACCUACAGGACCUUGCAAAAGAAAAAGGGCAAGUCCAACAAUAUUUACAUACAUGCUAGCAUUCUUGAACAGAGUAUUUUAUUUUUCAUCUGUUCAAUUAUUUCUUACCAGAAUCCGGAGGCUUAUUUAUCAACAUGGCGUGCAUAGCCAUGAUGUUUGGUCCCGUGAAGCAUUCGACAUAUUUCAAUAUCUAAGGUGAAGAAAGUUUCUCAUGAGAUGCAUAUUUAAACAUGCUAAAAAUAUAUUACCCCUUAUAUUUCAUGGGCAAGACUCAAGUGAAUACGCAUGAUCAAUACACCAGUGUUGAAACAGCAACCAGUGCUAUGCACUGCUGAGAGACAUCUAUAGAUAUCCCAUUGAAACGAACAGGAAUUAAACUCCCAUCCAGCAGUAAACUGUCUGGAGCUACCUAUUCCUAUAGCACAGAGAUUCAUGUAAAAAAAUUAAAUCACUUUAUGUUGAUUUAUACUUAACAUGACAAUUAAUAGCAUGUCAACACAGAGCUAAGGUGAAUGUUUCAUUAGAGCAAUGGUUUUUCCUUGAUCAGGAAGUGCCCUCUCUCUGCACUUCCCCAAAAUGUGUUCUGGGUUUCCCCCCAGAUGUGGAGGCGGAAAGGAUACAUGCGGGGGGGGGAGGGGGGAAUUCCCUUGGGCUAAUGCUAAUGCUUGAGCUAGCACAAAAAGUUGGUUAAAUAUCACACACAGUGAUCACCACUGCAGAGAUGCCUGAUUUCACUAGACUGGGUACACUAGACUGGGUACAAUCUGCAAAAGUUAAGCUCUGCUUAAAGCAUCUAUUGAACGAGACAAAAUAGCAGAUUAAAUCUACUGCUGUAUUGCUUCCUUAAUUUAAAAGCAGCCAUAUGGAAGUGAGGAAGACAUAUUUUGAAUAGGACUGCAGCACCAUGUGAUGGAUGUCAUACUUUGCUCCUUCCCAGGCCAUAUUCCCAGUGUAAAUCUCUUAUUCAGUUUAAGGAGGUGAGCGAAAUACGGAAAGACUCUGGUACCAGGAGGAAGUUGCUUGUUUUUUUCAAUUCACACCUCUGGCUGCUUUCAACUUUUAUAAAAAAAUAUGGAGCCAUGGGACAUCCUGUUCACGCAUCUCUGGCAUCAUUUCACCGUUGGUGUCACUUAACCUUUGGUAUAUUGUGCUGUUCCUGAUAGAAAAUGACUGCCUUACUAUGCUAGCAAGUUAAUUAAUGAAGUUUCCUAUUUCGUACAGGUCUUCCCCAUGGCUGCUCCCUUUUUAACCUGAGGCAAUCUACAAUAUCUGAAGAGCUUCUCAUGUUGCUGGAAAUCCUGUAUUUUGGAAACUGUUUUAUGAUCUAGAACAAACUCCGACUUGGAAGCUGAAACAUCUCUCAUGACCGUCAGACCAGGGACAAUCACUUCCUGUCUGCAGAUCUUCAUGAACUCAUUUCUGAGGAGAGAAUUCAAAAAAAGUUAUUCAUGGCAAAGUUUGCUAUGCUGUUUAACCAUGUUAUUGCCUUUCUAAAUUAAAUUAAAUCAAAUCAAACUGGAUACUUCUAUUGUGCAAAAUCAUGGGUAAUAAUUUUUUAAAAAUUUAUUAAAUUUGUAUACCACCCAUCAUCCAUAGAUUUAGAAAUCCACAUAACUCAUUCUCUGUGAGGCUUUGGAUUUAUAUUUAUAAGCGAGAAGUGAAUUAUGCCUUGAAUCAACUGGCUGGAUGUUCUUGUAAAUCCAGGGGGAAUUUUCAUUUGGAGUGGGGCCCUUCCUGUGGCCUUCAGGUCUUGCUUGCCAAACACAAGCUCUUGGGCACACCUCAAGAGAGACCUCUGGACUGCAACCAGUGUGUUUUAAACCACUGGGGGUGGGGUCAAGUACCACGGGGGGGGGGGUCAAGACUGACCCAAGGGGGGUUGAAACAGGAGCAGUACCACCCUGCAAAGCUAUGGAAAAAGAGAUUAAGAAAUGGGUCCUGAAUGCAUGUUUGGGUGAAAAGUGAGUUCUGGGUCUGAAAAGGUUGAAGAUACUUGUUUUAGACAAUCUCACUAUAUGUGAUUAGGACACAUGGCUACAGUUUACCUGAAAUGUUCAACAUCCUCAUCCGAGACCAGAUUUUUUAUGACGAGAUAGCCGUUCUCCUCAUAGAAAUCCCUUUGCUCUGGGCUUAGAACAUUAUUAUCUAAGGUGUAACUGUGGAGAUAGGAACACACACUGGGUAAGUUCACAGGGCAAGGAUGAAGUCUAGGAAAUAAGCGCUCCCUGGGAACUCUUAUGCAGCCUACAACGCACCCCGGGGUCUUCUGCAGCACACAGGAGCUCUAGGGAAAACAGGCAGGUCCAUGUGGGAGGGGGUCCCUGAAGUUCAAAAUCUGCAGAACCAUGAAGGUAUUUAUUUCCAUGAAGUCAGCACAAAAGUUAGUUUGCUGCUUGCUUCUUGAGUAUAGAGGCACAAAAGUUUCUACUAAUCCACAAAUACACAGAUGCAACCAUGCCCAUAAGCUUUCUGCUUCAGAAUAGCAAAUUCCGCAGGACUCUGGUGAGGCAGCAAUUUGAUGGUUAAUGCACCUCAAAUUAUCAAAGGUUCGCCACAUCUAAGGAUGGAAUUCUAAGGAAAUUAAACAUGGUUUCCUUUCAUUGCCACCAUCAACAUAACAUAUCUAUUUUUAAUAGAAGAAAUAAUUUAAGUCGUCACCUACUGGUAUUGAGUUCGGUAUUUCACUGUAGUAAAUUGGGCUGAAGUAGGAAAUCGUGUCUGGAGCACAUGUUAAGGAACUUACAUUUGUUUUAUUUAGAUUAUUAUAUAUUAUUGUGUGAUAUAAAAACUCAGAACUGAUUCUGAAUCAUAAUAACUAUUGAUAUGGUGGAGGAAAUAUACUAUAUUAAUCUUAAAUUAUUCUUCAUAUUUAUAUCCAAGCUUUUGUAUCAAUGGUUCCCUCCCCCGAUGCAAGUUAACUGCAUAGGAAGGGGGCAUUUUAAUGUAACAUAGACUGCAUUCUAAACUCUGUAUAAUGAAUAUUAGAGUUAAAACAAUCAAUGUUUGUUAUCAAAACUCUGUUAAGUUUUUAUUAAACUCCAAAGGUCACCCAGGCGGCAACUUAUAAUGGCAAAUGGAAAACUAUUUGAGGAAAGCAAAUAUUUUUACAAUAGUGCCUUCCAUGUUGGCACUUUCUAAAUAUCAGCAAAAACACCAGAUGGAAAACAAUUGCCAAACACAAAGUGGUGUCUUCCAAGAAAAUUAAUAAAAAAUACCAGUGAUAUAACACUGUAAUGAAAAAUCUACAAAACAAAAAUGGAAACUGCUGGAAGCCACAAAUACUGGCAAAACUGCCUCUGUGUGAUGCAUUAAAUACCCUUCUGUAUAAAUGAGUUUAUUUGUAUUAAUAUAAAAAACUUUUUUAAAAAGAAUGUCAAAGUCAAAUGGCAUGUUUACAAUAUUACAGUCAAGAGCAUCAUAGCCUUGGAAUGGACCACCAGGCCUUAAUCACAUCAUUAAUUAUUUCAACAAAACUCACAACAACUAGAUUCUGGAGAACUUGGGACUCUGACCUUAUGGAAGUCUGGUAUUGGCAACUUUGGGACUUGGCAGUCAUGGAACCUGUAAGCUUUGAGCUUGUAGAAAGACGCAGACAAUUCUUUAAGCUAUUUAGACAGGUUUUAUUUCUUAUACAGCAACGACAGAACCCGAUAUAGACUACUGUGCUUCAUGGAAAUCUUUGAGAGGACACUUUUCAAAGAGAGACAUGGCUGAUGUAAUUGUUUUACUGGAACAGACCAAAGCUCUGCUCUUCCCUUUUCCCUUGUAUUGGGUUGUACUGCAUUAUUUGAUACGUGAUGGGGUCUGAGGGCUUUCUGGGGCAAAGAAAGUAUCCAGUAAUUGCAACCUGGAGAGCUGGGAACCUGGUGCUUAUUAACGCAUGUGGAAAUGGCAAUGCAAGAAGAGAAGAGCGACAGGCUUGUGCUUGUCGCGUGCCGAGAAAUCAUGGGGCCGAGCAGUUUUCUGCUUGUUCCAAGCUUUUUGGGCACAGGGCUGAGCAGUUUGCCCUUGUCCUGUCACUUUCAUUAGGAAAAGCCACUUUCUGAUUGCUGUUUGCUCCAAUUCAGCUGUAAAGAUCAGGUUUUCCUGGGGGGAAGCUGUGGGGCAAAGGCAAGUCUGAGGGCUUAUCCACACCUCUGUCUGCCCUGCCACUUUUCACCAGGAAACAUGAUAUUUUGGGCUGAAUUUGGUUUUCUGCAGAUUGCCGUCUGUUCCAAUUUGUUGCCAAAGAGCAAGUUUACCGGGGAAAGCAGUGAGGCAAAGGCCAAACCGCUCAGACCCUUGGCUAGAAAGUGCAGGACAAGCACAGAACCACUCGCCCCCCCCCCCCCGGCGGAAGCGAGGCAGCAGGAGGCAGACUCUCCCUUGGCUCCCCCGCUGCCUCGCUGGCUUGCAAAGCCGCUUCCAACUUAUCUCCCCAAUGUAUAAAAUAUCUAGGAUGACAUUCUGCAUGUCCAACCACUGAAGGCAUACGGUGAGAAAUUUCAGCCCCCAUUGCCGCCCGCCCGCCCGCCCGGACUGGACGAGGAGCUUCUCCCCCGGCGGCCCGCUCGGCCCAAAGGAUACGGGGCGCGGCGCGGCGGCGGCGCCGGAGCGCAGGACGGGGCGCAGCAGGGCGCGCAGCCGGAGCGAGGCGGGGGCGCCGGCCAUGGCGAGGCUCUCGCGGCUGCCUCCUUCUCGGCGCGGCUCUGCGGGAGAGAGGAGAGGCGUCGGCGGGCGAAAGGAGAGCGGCGCGGGGCGCCAGAAGCAGCAGCAGCAGCCGCAGUGUCGGGGAGAGGAGCCCGAGGCGCCCUGCGGCCUGGGGGGCUGAGGCAGUCCAGCGCAAGACCCCCCCCCCCGGGCCAGGCAGGCGCGCCUGCUCAGGUGGCGGCGGCAUCCCGCAAAAUGGGUUCCAGACCAGCACCGACACUGAUGAAUUAUUACUGCUACAAGGAACUAAAAGACUCUUUUAAAAACCUCUUGGUUUAACACGCGCAGGGGGGCCAACGAUGAGCCCCGCCCCGCAUCAUCAGCCCCAAGAUGCGGCACAUGAUGCACACCAUUUGAAGGGCAAUGCCCAUCCACGUGGGAGGCCGCAGCCCCUCAAAUAUGUUAUUAGGGGGCCAAAGGGACCUCAGCCUCCCCGUUGGCUCCCAUGAACAUGUGCAAAGUCCGGCUUCUCUCAAGCUGCAACACGCCAGGAAGUUAAAGGCAUGGAAUUUUGUGAAUAUGAGGCUACGUGCAAUUUAUCUUAUGUCUAAUUAAGUUUCCAAUUUGUUAAGUGAAAAAUAAAGACCCAAACUCUGAUGAAGAUGCUGAAGAGUCCACACCUUAAAGCAGAGCUCUCCAAACUGUGUGUCAGACGUGUUGGCGUGUCGGCCGCAGUGCGCAGGUGUGUCACUCGAAUGCUCCCUGCGCUCCUCCUGGGGCUGGAAAGGGGUUAGUUGAGCUUGCCAGUAAAACUGAAUUACUGUGUCGCAAAAUGAUGCAUGUCUAAAAAGUGUGUCACCAACAUGAAAAGUUUAGAAAGCACUGCCUUAAAAGUCUGAAAUGUCUUAUUUUUUAUUUCUCCUUCUCUCUCUCCAUCACGGAAAGCAUAACUGAAGGGGCUGAGCACAUCCCUAUUAUCAUAGUGGUGAUUAGGAUUUGUCCUCCAUGACAAAAUGGUCAUGGCCAAUUUUAAAGUUCUUUUUAGUAUCUUCUGUUACGCUACAUAUAUUAGAGGCUAAUCGAGUCUCUACACAAAAUGGCUGCUCAAAAAUGUGUUCUGCGUGCAUAGUUGUUCUCUAUAAUAAGGAACUGUUUAUGAAUUUACAAUAGUGUCUGCCUAGAAGAAGGUUGAGAGCACAAUCCAAGUAGUAAUAGUAAUAAUAUCAAAAUACCUGAGUGUUUCGAUUGGAGGCCUUGAUCCAACGAAGCCUGGUCCCAGUCCAGAAGCCUCACUGAGAUCUUGCCUCCUGAAGAGCCUAUGAGGAACUGAGCCGCCUUUCAUAAGUCGAAUCAUAAGACAUGACACCCCCCCCCCCCCGCACACACACACUUCCUGGCUGUAUUGUCAGAAUGAGAUUUAUUAUAUAUUCAUUAUAUGCAUCACAUACGGCAAAGCUCCGCCCCUACUUCAUUCUAACAUUAUCGAUGUCAAAUGUUUAUUUAAUUAAUCUUCUAAUCUACUUUUGCCCCUGCCCAGCUUGUUGCUUGUAUGUUGUUCUGCUUCUCUCUUUGUACAGUGAAAAAUACUGAAAUGGCUUAUGUUAUAAAAAGGCCUGGGGAAAGUUUGCUAAGAGUUUCGAGAAUUAACCACAAGAGUGGUGAAAGCUGAAAUUUUACCAAAGACACUGUCAGAUCAUAAUGCCACUGUAAUGGAAUGGAAAAGUAAAGAUUUAACAACGCGAAGGUGGAGAAUGAAUGACAGCUUGCUAGACAAUACAGAGAAACUAGAUAAAAAACAAACACAUAUUUUGAAUUAAAUUUAAAUAAAGGUACUGAUAUUAAUGUAGUUUGGGAUGCAAGCGAAGCUGUUAUGUGAGGAUUCUUCCUGCAACAAAACUGUAUUCUUAAGAGGAAAAAGGAAAAGAACAAAGAAGAAAUAUUAAAUAAAAUAAAAGACAUAGAAAAACAGAUGGUUAGGGAGCCAGAAGACCCAAAAUUAAAACAAGCACUUAAAUUGUUGCAAACGCAACUAUCUAUGAUUAUAAAUCAAGAAGUGGAAUGGAAAAUUAAACGAUUAAAACAACAAAAUUUUGAAUCAGCAAACAAAACGGGAAAAUGGCUGGCCUGGCAAUUAAAGAAAAAACAAGGGCAGAACUUCAUAAAUACAAUGAAAGAUAGUAAUGAAAUAAUAGAUAAUCCCAAAGAAAUAAGGAAAGUUUUCUAUAAAUUUUAUAAAGAAUUAUACAAAACACCCAAAGAAAAUGAGGAAAAAAUAAGAACUUACCUAGAGGAACAUAAAUUAAAGGCAAUCUUGCAAGAAAGAAGAGAACAACUAGAAAGACUGAUUUCAGAGGAAGAAAUUAUGGAAACAAUUACACAAGGGAAAAUGGAAAGGCACCAGGGCCUGAUGGUAUACCAAUUAAAUAUUAUAAGAAAUUAAGCCAACAACUAAUUCCUGCACUAAAGGAAGUAAUGAAUAAGUAUAAUGAAGAAAGGGCAGAUUCCAAUGACAUGGGGAGAAGCGUUUAUUACAUUAAUACCUAAACAAGGAACGGAUCUUACAAAUGUAAAAUUUUUUAAACCAAUAUCACUGAUCAAUAACGAUUAUAAAUUGUUCACAAAUGUAUUAGCACAGAGGCUAAAAAAGAUUAUCGGACCACAAAUACAUCCAGACCAAGCGGACUUUUUACCAAGAUGGCAUUUAAAAGAUAAUUUACAAAACAUAGUAAAUAUAAUUGAAUACUUAGAAACUAAAAUAAAUAAACAAGCCACAUUGAUUUUUAUAGACAUGGAAAAGGUGUUUGAUAAUGUGUCUUGGUCCUUUAUGAAAAAGAAUCUAGAAAUAAUGGGCCUGGGUACAAAUUUUCUAAGGAGUAUAGAGGCAAUUUACAAAGAACAAAUUGCGAAACUCAUAAUAAAUAGCGGACUGACAGAGAGUCUUCAAAUCACAAAGGGCACAAGACAAGGCUGCCCACUGUCACCUCUACUAUUUAAAUCAGUACUGGAAGUAUUACUUCAAAAUAUAAGAGAGACAGAAAGAAUUACAGGGAUGAAGUGUGAAGAAAAAUAAUACAAGGUCAAAGCCUUUGCUGACGAUAUAGUUCUGACAUUACAGGAACCACAAAUCUUGACAGCAGAAGCAUUAAAAGUAAUUGAAGAAUUUGGUUUGUUGGCAGGACUGAAAAUUAACAAGGGUAAAACAAAAAUGAUGGUAAAAAAUAUGAAUGGGGAACAAAUAGAUCAAAGCAAAACGGAAACAACAGUGGUAAAGAAAAUAAAAUAUUUGGGUGUCUGGCUCUCCCCGAAAAAUACAAACCUAUUUAAGGACAAUUAUAAAACAACAUGGAAAGAAGUAAAAACAAAUUUGGAAAUUUGGGAUAGACUGAAACUAUCCUUCUGGGGAAGGAUAGCAGUUAUAAAGAUGAGUGUCCUACCUAAGUUGCUCUUUUUAUUCCAAACUAUCCCGAUUAUUACUGGAUUAGGUCAAUUCAAGGAGUGGCAAAAAACAAUUUCUAGGUUUGUAUGGCAGGGGAAGAAGCCUAGAAUAAAAUUUAAACUUCUAACGGAUAAAAGGGAAAGAGGCGGCUUUUCACUACCGGAUCUUAAAAUACAUUACGAAGCUGCUUGCGUAACAUGGUUAAAAGAAUGGUUUAGCUUGAACAACACAGAUAUAUUAGAUCUGGAGGGGUUUGGAAACAGAUACGGGUGGCAUUUGAUCACUUUAUGAAGUUUGGAAGAGAUAUAAAGAGUGGUUUGAAAGGAAAACACCAUGGUGGCUGUCACCCCAAUAAGCCUUCUCAGUGAAAAAAAUAAACAUGAAAGGAGAAUGGCUAACGUAUAGAGACAUACUGUUGGAAGAAAAUAACGUAAUUAAGAUCAGGCCUUAUGAGGAACUAAAAGAUAAACUAUCAAGCUGGAUGGAGUACCACCAAAUGAAUGGCAUUUUCUCAAAAGACAAAAAGCAAGAGGUUUUGAACAAACAAGAUCAAUAUUAGAAAUUGCAGUAUUAAAGAAUAAUACAAAAUAAUGUUCAAAGUUUAUGAGAUUUUAAUAGAAUGGCACACAAAAGAUGAGGAAAUCAAGAGUGUUAUGAUUAAAUGGGCAAUGGAUGUUGGCCAUAACAUUGAAUAUGAGAAGUGGAUAAAAUUAUGGAACACAGGGCUAAAAUUUACAGCAUGUACCUUGUUAGAAGAAAAUCUGUUAAAAAUGAUGUACAGAUGGUACUUCACGCCAAUUAAAUUGACAAGGAUGUAUAAAACAGGAAACAAGAAUUGCUGGAAAUGUGGGGUGAAAGAAGGUCGUUUCUUUCACAUGUGGUGGUCUUGUGAUAAUGUAAAAACGUAUUGGGAAAAUAUAUAUAAUGAAUUAAAGAAGAUAUUUAGAUACACGUUUUUGAAAAAGCCAGCGGCAUUCUUGUUGGGAAUGGUAGGAGAAGACAUUACUAAGAAUGACCAGAAAUUGUUCUCAUAUGCACUAACAGUGGCAAGUACCAACAGUAGAAGAAUGGCAGCAGAAGGUAAUGGAAUAUGCAGAAAUAGCUAGAUUAACAGGGAAAAUUCGACCACAGGGUGAUGAAACAUUUCAAAAAGAAUGGGAAAAUUUUAUGUCAUACAUAGGAAGGAUAAGGUGAAAUAGUGAAACCAGUAGAACUGAAAUAAACCUCAUAAUGUGAAAUAUUUAUGGAUAACGAUAACGAUAUCUUUAUUGUCAUUGUCCCUUGCGGAACAAUGAAAUUGAAAAACUACAUAAAACUACAUAAAAACUACAUAAGACUACCACAAAACUACAUAAAACUACCACAAAACUACAUAAAACUACAUAAAAACUACAUAAAAACCACAUAAAACAUUCAAAAUCCCUAAAAACUCUAAAACCCCAUUUUAAAAUACACUAUACUACGGAGACCCCUUAUGCUGCGUUUAGAACCAGAAUUGCAUUAGCGUAGAAACUGUUUCUCAGGCGGCUAGUCCUGGCCUUUAUAACCCUAUACCUUCUUCCAGAAGGCAGAAGAUGAAAGAGAUCAUUUCCGGGGUGCGUACUGUCAUGUGCUAUCUCUGCUGCUUUCUUAUGGCACCUGGCAGCAUAGAUUUGAUCUAAGGUGGGAAGAGUGCACCCAAUAAUUCUCUCUGCAGUCUUUACAACCCUGGAUAGCAUUGUUUUUUCCCUGGCCGUGCAGCUCCCAAACCACACGCACAGACCAUAAGUUAGUACACUCUCCACAGUGCAAUGGUAAAAUGCCAUCAACAGGUCCUUUGAGAGAUUGUUUUUCCGGAGGAUUCUCAGAAAAUAUAGCCUCUGCUGUGCUCUCUUCACCAGGUCUUUGCUGUUCUCUCCCCAGGUUAGGUCGUCUCUCAACUCCAUUCCCAGAAAUCGAAACACCGAGACCUGUUCCACGCACUUCCCCUCAAUAAUAAGUGGCUGAAUAUUCAAUUUACAUUUCCUAAAGUCCACAAUGAUCUCUUUUGUUUUCUUUAAGUUAAGGAGUAAGUUGUUUUUCCUGCACCACUCCCCCACUGCUCAACUUCCUUCCUAUAGGCCGCCUCCCCCUCUCCAGCCGUAAUUAAACCAACCACCGUUGUAUCAUCUGCGAACUUAAUGAUCUUAUUACUGGGGUAUUUGGGGGCACAGUCAGCUGUAUAGAGCGUAUAUAAAAGCAGGCUCAACAUGUACCCCUGCGCGUCCCCGUAUUCAUGAUGAGAUCCGCAGAGACAUGGGAACCCAACCUGACCCUUUGGGAACGGUUUGAUAGAAAGUCUAAUAUCCACCUGCACAAACAUGGUGGAAGUCCCAGGUCUAAUAAUUUGGGCACCAAUCUAUGCAGAAGAAUAGUAUUAAAUGCAGAACUAAAGUCUACAAAUAAGUCUCGCGUAGUUCCCUUGCUUCUCCAAAUGAGUCAGGACAGCAUGUAAAGCCAUUGCCACAGCAUCCUCUGUGGAUCUCUUUGCCUUGUACGCAAACUGGUAAGGGUCAAGUCCCACUGGCAGACAAGAUAAGAUGCGCUUCCUUACCAGUUUUUCGAAACAUUUCAUUAUAAUGGGUGUCAACGCCACAGGGCAAAAAUCAUUCAGACUGUCUAUCUUUGAUGUUUUUGGCAGGGGUAUAAUGGUAGCAGAUUUCAGAAAGGGUGGAACAGUGGCUUGGGCCAGAGACUGGUUAAAAAUCUUCGUAAAGAUUCCUGCCAGUUGGUCCGAACAAUCUCUUAGCACCUGCCAGCCACCCCAUCCGGGCCCAUAGCCUUCCUCGUGUUCACCUCCUUUAAUAUUUGCCUCACUUCUCCCUCUUCCACCCUGACAACAUUUCCUGUAGGUAGUGACACCAAUAGCUCUGGCAUCCCUGUUGGAGUCACUGUUGGUGUCACCUCAAAUCGGGCAAAGAAGGUAUUCAACUCUCCCACCAAGGAAGCAGUAUUCUCUACCACUGAUGAAUUCCUUGAUUUAUAACCAGUCAGAUGUUGAACUCCCUGCCACAUUUGUCUAGUAUCAUGAUUUCUCAGAUGGUCCUCAAUUUUUCCUCUGUACUCCGCUUUUGCUUUCCUGAUACCCCUCUUCAAGUUCGCUCUUUCUAUGCCAUACGGUACCCGAUCCCCAGUUCUAAAAGCAGAAUUUCUGGCCUUCAAUAAUCUCCUAACCUCUCCUGUCAUCCAGGGCUUCCUAUUCGGAUACAACUUAACAUACUUUUCCCUGGUGACAUUUGCUGUGCAGAAUCUAAUAUAAUCCAGGACCGUUGAUGUAUAAGUUUCUAGAUCUUGAUGGUCGAAGAUAUUCCAGUCGGUCUCCUGGAAACAGUCCUGCAGUUGCUGAGAGGCUCCCUCAGGCCACACCGUAACCAUCCGUGUUCGUAUCUGGCCUUGUUUCCUGAGGGGUGUGUAUACUGCUGUCAGAAGCAGGGUAAAGAAAAUUUAUGGAAAAUUUAUGGAUAAAGAAAAUUACAAAAAGUAAAAUGUACAAUGUGAUUAAUGUAACCAAUGGUAGUUGUAAAUGGAUAUAGACAGACAAUAAGAAUUGUAUAUACAGGAGGAUUUAUUUGACUAUGAACAAAUAUGAAAGAAGAAAAAUAAUAUACAAAACGGAUGAAGACAAUGCGAAAAAGUUAGAUGUGAUAUAAAAGGCCAGAAGAGGGAAGGAGGGAAGUCAGCUCUGGGGAGCAGGUGUGAAAUGUAAUACAGUGUGUGUAUGUGGAGUGUGCAAAUGAAAACCAAUAAAGAAUAUUAUGGGGGGGGGAGGAAAGCAGCUCUGGAAAAAAUUGAUUCUGAAUAAGAGAGACCUUUGCUUAUCGGUCUGUUUGGAUUAUUUCAUAUUUUCUAAGAAGCUAAGCCUGUGCUGGACAUAUUUUUGAGGUACAUUUGAUGUUUUAAUUAUUUUUAAAGAAAGUUCUGCAAGUAAAAUUUUGAAUAAUAACUUAUGGGUCUGGACAAUGCUUCAUUCCAAAAGGAACAGUUUUUUAAGCAUCCCGUCGCUUCAAACUGCACACUAUUAAUAUCUGCAAAAAUCCAGUCUACUACUGAAGCAUAACAACAGUCAAGCCAUUCACUGUGUGCAGAUGUAAAGGAGUAGAGCUGUGUACCAUAAGGGUAUUGCUGACAAUGCCCUCAAUGUGAACUACAAAGCUGGGAGUCUGUCUCUGAAUAAAACCUAAUCUGAGUAACUUGGCUGCUUUUGAACAUGGAAAUUGGAGGCUAAUUUGUGCAGGUUAUUUGCACACUACAGAGAGAUGAGCUAAAAGAAUUCCAGGUAAACUGCUAAGUUUAAUAUUGAUGAAUAUGUACACAAAUAGUACCUAAUUGUGCAUGCUACCCUUUAUUAACUUACUCUGAUGUGUGAAUUAUGUUACAUCAAACCAUACUUAAAAUAAACUAUGGUUUAAUGUGAAUGCCCAGUGUACCUUUGCAGACUGCUGAAAUUCUGGCCACUUUGCUUCUCCCCGGCUGCCAAGAAGGCAAGUCUGGCUUGUUGUGUUGUCUGAACGGCCCAGCCUGACGAGGAAAGAAACCAGGAGCCCAUGUUCAGCCCACACAACAAGCCCGAGUAUGGCUUCUUUCCUGGAAGCGCAACAGCAGCAGGGGAACAGUGAGGCACAAUUUCGGCAGUGCGCACCAGCACGCUGCUUGUUCACAAUCGUGUUCACAUUAGCGUUACUUUAAGGAUGUUUAAUGUGACCAUGGGAACCAGGCCAACAUGAGAAACCAACCCUUAGGAGUGCGUACUCAGAAAUGUUACUCCAUUAAGAUUUGUUUCUCCCUACUUUCUUGCCCUUCUGUGUAAUUUGCAAAACACACAUCUGGUCUAGAGCCACGAUGUUGUGGACAUUGGGAGACUAUUCCAGACUAGAACUUGCACUAAAGACACACAGCAGCAGUGGCUAAUUGGGCUCUCUGGGAAAAGAGCACCAUCUACUGACCUCUGGAAGAAGUCCUUUAAGCAAUGCUUGUGCAAAAUGCAGUGUUUGUAUGCCAAUGGGGUAACGCCAUCUUGCGCUGCCCGGUACUGCCAGGCGUGCUCUUCUCAAUGGUUCUUUGCUGCAGAAUUAAGCCUUGGGGGACUGGGCAUCUUGCGGUCUGAAGUCAGGACUUCCAAGCACCAUCCAUGCGGCAUGCAGGGGUGUUCUCCACAGGGAAGCUGCUCCCACACCCGAUCCAGCAUGCCUCGGCUCUAUUGCCCAUCAGCUUAUGGGCAAUAGAGCCAAAGCUGCUUUCACUUGCCAGUGCAUGACCAGGAGUGCCCCACUGUGCCCAAGGCUCCACCUGAUGUCACAUAUGAUGGCAGGUGGGCAGGGCUUGAAGAAAACAGCCUCGCAGGCCAAGUUUGACCCACCUCUGGCACAACAGUAUCGCCAAACUGCAAACACGAUCCUUUGGGAGAGUGUAACUCAGUCUAGAGCAGACUGAACAUCAUGUCCUUGAGCAACUAAAGUAGUGAUAGAAACUCAUUUGUCAGGAGUUUGAUUCAGUUUAUUGGCCUGCAUUCUGGAAAAUGGUUCUGCACUUCCACUACCUCAACCCACAGAGGAGAGAAAAAAUAUAUCAGAACUAUAAUGUGCAUUAGCCACAGAGACUGGACCUGUGAUGUUUGCCCGAAAUUUAGAUUCUUUGUGGUGAUAUUCUUUUUUUUUUUUUAAGCAAUGCUCAGAGGUCGUAUUUAAAAAAAACCACUUUUGGGUAAUCCCAUAAAAUGCACUUGUUUAGGUAAUAUAGAUAAUUCCUGUGACAUUAAUUUGUGUCCGACAUUGUUCACAGUAUGUUUAAAGUGCUUGCUGAUAAGAAAUAGCCUUCUGUAGGUGGGUAGAUGUUGAUAUCAUGGCCUCAACAGCCUAAAUCAAAAUCACAACAGCUUGAGAAAGGAUGUUUGGGUGAACUUAAUUUGGUUUAAACAUUAUAUAUCACAUUGAUCCACUCUUUAUCAGCUGUAAAGGGAGGACUGCAUGUUUAUUAAUGGAUUAGAAAUUGCUCCCCUCUAAGCAACCGGCCCUUCAUUUAUCCCUAUUCCAAGAAUGCGUCAUGCAUUACAUCCAGAUUUGUUGAGGAACAGAACAGUUAUGCAUCACAGAUACAGAAGCAGCAAGGGCCAUGGAUUUGCCAGUAGUUUGAACCAUUUGUGUGCCAUGCAGCAUGAACAAUGACUUCCUCUUGUACAACGGGUGAGGCCAUCUACAAAAUGUUCAGAAUAAAUCAAGGAAAUGGAAAAAGUGGGGUGGAGACUUCUGCAACUUCCAUCUUACCCCUAGAACCCCUUGUUCACCCCCACCUCCCAAAAGUCUGCACCUGGGGGGUGGCUGACCCUCCAGGACAACACGAGAGGGGGUAUAGAAGAAUGAAUGGGAAAAUAACAAAAAACAUGGCUCCCCCUCCUUCUGUUUUUGGAACCCUCACUAGACUGAAGCCCCUUGCCAUGAAUGGAAGGGUUCCAUUCUACUGAAUCUAAUGCUCUUUAGGAAAAAGCACACAGCAGGACAGCACUACAAUGUUGAGGUGUAGUACUAGCAUGAAGUUUAUUCUGUCAUCUUUGGGGGUGGACAGACCCUUGUCCCCAAAAAGGCUUUCAAGAGAUCCUCCCCCAGAUUGAUCAGAAUUUACUUAAACAAAAUCUACAGCCUCCAACAGGAGAGAUAACGAGAGGCAUCAAGCUUUAGAUGAUUUAGUUCAUAUUUUUUGGCCCUGACCUAAAUACUAUCAUUUUGGAAAAGGGGUACUUGCAGUUAUAAAAGAUAUAACUAGAACCAAUAUCCCUCCAACUCUUCUUGUGUACUUGAAAAAGAUUGCUAAUAAGAAAGAUUUGGAACUGGAAUUGACUACUCUUUAACUCAGAGCAGUAAGACAAAUAGCUUUCCAAUGGAAAACUUCAAAGUCUAUUUCCCUUGAACUGGUAUGAACAUGUCUGGGUAGUAGUGUAUUUAACUAAGCUUACGUAUUAUAAAUGAAGGAAAGAAGAAGCACUAGAAAUAUUAAUUGAAGCACGACGUUUAUUUAUUAACUCUGAGAACACAAAAAACCCAAAGAAAGCAUGCAAUCUUAUAUAUUAUUUUCACACAUAACUCCAAAUGAUAAGGGUGGUUUUCUUUUUCAUUAUUGUAAUUACUUUCUAGUUUAGUCAUUUGUCUUUCUUAAUUUUCGAUUUAAGUUGAAUCUCUUUUUAGUUGAUUUUUUAAAAUGCGCCUGUCAUAUGGGUAACAUUGCACUUUCAAAAUGAGAUUAAAUCCACUGGUCAUUUCUUUAAAAAGCUGAUGAAGCUGACUGCAACAGGCUUUUGACAGUCUAAUACACAGCUUUUAGUUAGAGCUUUGUAUAGCUUAGGUAACAAAUGUAGCCCCUAUGCAGAACCUGUGUAUGUCAUUGGUGCAUUCCAUUGGUGCAGAAGUCUGUUUUCUUGACUGGUUCAAUAUGCUGCUGGAGGCUGAGCCAAGCUCUGUUCAGAGGAGACCAUGAGAGGAGACCACACAAGAUGGCCUUCUGGCCAUUGGGGGGGGGGGCUUUUCUACACUGCUCCCAACUCUGCCACAGCCUUUCGAGAUGGGGCAAUCGGAAAUGGAGAGCCCUUUCCUGAUUAGUCAGAAGUCUACCAGCAUACGUGAAGUUCCUAUUUAGUUAUUUUGGCCCCAAAGUAUAUUCCUUUAACUUACAUGGAACUGCAUUUGCCAUUUUGUUCAUUUAUUCACCCAGUUUGGAGAAAAUAAUGCUACGCUACUAAGAAUACAGGAUAUGGCUGGAACAUUCUGAAUCACUGCAUAAAGGCAGCUGUUUCAGUGCCUUGUUGAAUCAUACAGCUGUCUACCAUUCAAUACUGGAUAAAGUAAAUCAUGAAGUGCAUCAAUUAAAAUAGUUAAAACUGUUCUUGUGAAGGGAAGUUUUCUUUCUGCAGUUCUCUUACUGCACAUGACUGUGGCAUUGUGGGAAAGUCUUGCUUUUAGCACUAUUGUUUCUUUUCUCUUGCAUUCUGGGAAGUCUCGCUUCUGCUUCUGCACAUACUGUUCCAAACACACCAAGCCUAGCACACCUAGACAUUCUCUCAUUCUUCAGUUCAUUUCAAGUUCAUGAAGAAAACAAUAUGGUCUGUUCCUAAUGCAUAGCUGACCACAUCUACGGAACUUCAUUAUUAUAUUCUUUCAUGUUAUGAUCAAUCAUUAGUAAUUGUUUUAGUCAUGCUAUAUUAAUCUUUAGUUAUAAUUUAAUUAGGAGGAUUCAUGCCUGUCUAGUUCUAGCCCCAUUCCUCAUCCUUUGAUCUAUCAAUGAUAAAUGGACAUAUGCUAUUCCCGCCUUGUACCUAUGUUAACCAUCAGCAACAAGAUGCUUUGUGUUUGUAUCAACCAAUCAGCCACAAGCACACCUGUGGCAAUGUUUGUAAUAUUCAAUAAAAGAGAGUUCCCGGGGCUUGCCCCGGCAGACGCCUCUCAUAUGACACCUACCACUUGUCUGUCGUGAUUUCAACCCAACAUCUGGUGACCCCGACCCCUUAAGAAUAUUGUUUACUCAGAACAGUAGGCGUGUCCAAGGAGGUGUGCCUAGAAUUCUCAAUUAAGCAUCAUUAUCAAAUAUAAAUAUACCUCAGAACUGUUUUACUUCAUAGUAAUUGAAAAUAUUCAGUGCAAGAAAAAUUCUGAACACA